UUUUUAAAAAUUGAAAUGAAAUAACACCAGUGAUACCUAAAUCCAUAAACAUGCUUUCCUUGCAGGAAGGCACAUCUACCUUCCCACCCGUAGGGUCGAACAGUGUCCCCCAAAUCCAUGUUCUCCCAGAACCUCAGAAUGUGACCUCGUUUGGAAUAAAGGGUUUUGCAGAUGUAGUUAGAAUAAGGAUCUCGAAAUAAGAUCAUGCUGGAAUUGGGCGGAUCCUAAAUGCAAGGAGAGCAUCCUUCUAAGAGAAAGGAGAGCGAGAGUUGAAAACAGAGCCGCAGGAGAGAAGCCAUGUGCGCAUGUGCGACAGAGCCGCAGGAGAGAAGCCAUGUGCGCAUGUGCGACAGAGGCAGAGACUGGAGUGACGCAGCCGCGAGCCAAGGAACGCCGGGAGCCCCGGGGAGCUGGACAAGGCAGGGACACAGUCUCGCCCGGAGCCUUCGGACUGAGUGCGGCUCUGAUUUGACUUAGCACUUGUGGCCUCCAGGACGGAGUGGUGCUUUUAAACCUUAAAUAGGCGCACACCCCACGCCAUGCUGUCAAGGGCUCUCAGCCCCCCGCCACGUGUAUCUGGGAGAAGCUCCGAGGUUCUUGCUACAGUGACGUCAUCCUUUCUAACAGCUGCAGGUAGGCCCCUGUGGGACCCUCCCAUCCCUUAUGUGACGAACCCUCACUGUUGGACACUCAAGUUCUCUCCAGCUUUUCUCCUUGGUACGUGAUGCCACGGUGAACAUCUCCGCACCUUCUGCACACGCUCAAUGAUUUUCGGAGCAUCGAAUAUUCCUUAGAAGAAUGGUUGGGCCAAAGGCUAAGCUCGUUUACAGUUCUAUUGGUUUUGUCAAACUGAGUCAAAAUGUAUUGGAAACUUAGACCCUUGAGAAGGACAGAAGCCUGGAAGCAGACUUCCGGAUUUUGUAGUGUUGGAUACUUCCAACCCCUGAGUCAAGGAAAGUUAGGGCACGGGGGAGGGGCCUUAGAAAGGACAUCUGUGCUGGGGUCUUGGGGGAACCCAGGAGCGGCCACUCCCAAACCCUGCCUGGGUCUCUGUCGCCCUGGGGUGGGCGAGGAGAAAGCAGAGGAGAUAGACUGGGGGCCCCGGGAGUUCUGGCAGCGGGGAGGCACCUCUCCAGCCUGGGCACCCAGCUCGUCUGCCCCAGUGAGGUUGCCCCUGUCCAGCCGAGGUGCCAGGUCAGUUGGGCCUCUGUGUGUGAAUGGAAAGGGCAAGGUGGGGGUGGAGGAAAAGGGGCCACCUGCUCUGGGACUGAUUUGCUGGCCCCGGCUGGAGCUCUGGGGUCUGGGGCAGGGGGCUCUGGACUCGACAGUGAUUGCCUACCUUGGGGCCAUCUCCCUCCCCACUCUGGUGGUUUUAGAACAUGCCACCCUCCCCCCUCCAAUUAUUUGACAUUCCGCUUAUGGAGAAGUGGACACUUGAAUCUGUGCUCUGGAUGCUUGAGCAAAGUGGUGGAAGUGGUACUGUGUCAGAGCCCAGACCCAGGCUGUCACCAACUGCAGCUUCCAUGACCCGUCUCUUGGGAUGCUCGCUCUUGGAACUCAGCCACCAUGCUGUGCGGAAGCCCAAUGGCCCCAUGGAAAGGCCAUGUGGAGAGGAACAGAGGCCCCCAGCUCUCACCCCCGCAGGGCUAAUGGGUCCUUCAGGCCCCGAGAUCCCCAGUUGAUGCCACCUGGAGCAAGGAUGUGCCUUCCCUCCUCAGCCUGCUUCACUUGCAGAGCGGAGAGCAAGAGAAAUGAUUGCUCUUGUUUUAAGCCACUAAAUUGUGAGGUUAUUUGCUACAUGGCAAUAGAUAGCUACAACACCCCAUGGCCAAGGAAGUCGCCACUAGCAUGUGAGCGUGGGCUUUGCGGUCAGACCCACCAGCCGUGUGCCAAGACCUCUCUCGGCCUCAGUUUCCUCAUGGGCAAAUAGUGAUAGUGAUAGUACUUGCCCAUAAGGUGCUGAGAGGUGAAACGAGAUGGUUCCUGGAGAGGGCCUGGCAUGGCAUGAGUGCAUGGUAUGUGGUAGCUGUUCUGACUGCUGACUGUUACUACGGUUAUGUUCAUAGGUGCUAGAAAAUCACUCACUCCAGGCUUCAUUGCAACAGACAGAUCCUGCACUGCUUGUUCCUUUGGGGGCCUCAUCCUCCAGGAAGCCGUCCCUGACCUCCCAGGCUGAGCUGGCACCCCUCUGCAGCCCCCAUUCUACCCUCUGCUGCAGCGUGCGCCCCACUGUGCGGUCACGGCCUGUUUAUGGCCUCAGGCUGCAGCUCCCUGAGGGCAUUGUUAGAAGGACCAGAAAGCAGUUGAAGUGUGCAAAGUGAGGACAAGGUGGGUGCGCCCAUAGGUGGGUUCCUGGGGAUGCUUACGUAGCCGAGUGAUCCUCAGCCGGCCUGUGCACCCUGACUGUGCACUUGAGCCUCUGUGUGUUCUGGCGGGCCUGUACGAGGUGCGUGUGUGCAUGUCUGUGCAUGGAGCCAUGUGCAUGGCGCGUCCAUGUGCGAGUGUGCGUGUGCUCCUGGGGGCGGUCUGCAGCAAGGAAAGUCUUGCAGCAGCUGCUACAUCCGGGUCCCACCAGCCCUCACGGGGGAACUAAAAAUAGCCUGUGCCCAGCCCUGACCCAGCGGGCAGGGGGCCGAGGGGCAGCCCCGCAGGGCACCCCGGCCGGGCUGUUGCCCUCCUCCCUCCUGGGGCCACCGCCCUGCCUGCGGCCCAGUCUCGGGCUCCCAUGAGCUCAUGCCGGCCCUGGCCAGCAGGGCGGGGAGGGCAGCCCAGGGCUGAGGCCCUGCCCACGGCCGGCGCUGGACACAGGCAAGGCCUGAUAAGGUCAAGCUGGAGUGGGGUCCGCCCCUCCUCCAGCCUGGCCGCGGGCGGACGUGAGUCAGCACAGGGGGCAUCGGGCAGCCCGGCUGACGCUGCUGGCAGCAGGGGAGGCCGGGGGUGGGCCGCCCGGGCAGGGCAGGGACUGGCCAGGAGGAAUCACCUGCUGCCUCGGCCAAGCCCUGACCUCAGUCCCCACCUUGAGGACCCCACCUCCACUUCCGCCGGGAAAGCCCCUCUCAGAGGCUCCCCCGGGCUUCCUGCCCUGGUCUGGGAUCACCCCUGGCCUUGGGAGGGCUGUCGCCCACCGGGCCCCAGGGCGUCCACACGCCCCUGCCCCAAGACAUCCUCUCGGACCCCCCAGCUGGCCACGACAGACCCUGGCUGUGGAGCUGAGAAAGGGGGGCACCUGGGAGGAGCAGGGACGCUCUGAGAAGCUGGCCCCUGAGCUCUGAGCCAGCUUCCAUAACUUCUGCUCGUAUGACUCAGUUUCCUCAUCUGUAGAAUGGGCUUAUGACUGCCUGCCCUCACAGAGUUGUCACGAGGAUUGAAGGGCUCUUGGCACAUAGUAGGCCUCAUCCGGGCUAGCUCCCCUCCCACAUCCUCUCUAGCUCCCAGGGAGCUGGCCCCAGACCCCAGGACACCUGCAAAUCCCCCUUCACUUCCCAGGCUCAGAGAAUGACAGGAGGGGGACAACCGAAAAAAGCAAAAAACUGAUAUACUUGCUGAAGUGACCAACAAUCCAAACACGUCAAGGGGUGUGGAGUGAGUGGUCCCCUCCCACGCCCUCCCCCGUCCCUUUCUAGAAUAUUCUAGAGAUGGCCUAUGCAGACACAUACAAAGACAGAUUUAUAUCCUCUUCUCCACCUUAAACACACACCGCGGACGGCAGAGUUCCCUCCUGCACCCGGAGGAGGGCCUGUGUCCAUGCAUGCAGAGCCCCCUCGUUCUCAUCUGUGGUGUGUGUCCCAUCAUUACUUAGCCAGACUGUGGCCGGAAGUGCUAUUUAUUUGUCUGUUUGUUAAGACAAGGGAGCAGCUUCCCGGAAGGGUCCCUCCUCGAGUCUGCGGAGGGAGACCUGGGUCUGAGUCAGGUCUGGACGUCCCACUCAAGGGACCUGGCACAUCUUGCCUCAGUUUCCCACCUGUGAGAUGGUGGCCGCAUCCGUCAAUGAGACCGUGUUGCUACCUGCUGGCCCACAGGCUGUAUCCUGUUUAUGGAUGUGUUCUGCUCCUCAAACUUUUCCAAAAUCUGGAGAUUUCACAUUAAAAUCCAGACUUCUGGAUUCUCUUGAAAAAUUAAAUGUCUGGCAACAGCUGGCUAGAGUCAAGGAGCAGCUGCCCUCUCCGGACCGGGCGAGGGUGCUCUGCUUGGCCCAGCCCCCACUACUCUGCAUUGCUCCUCCUCAGGAGCAUCUGUGAUGCUCGCUCAGAGUUGUGCAGACACAGUGAGGGCUCUGAGCGCAGGGUCCCCAGCGGCCAGCGCAGGCCCAGUUUCACCCUCUUGCUGGAUCCUCAGGGUGUCUGGGACUCAGUAGCCAGAGCCGCUGCUGGUCCUGGAACCCAGGGCCGAGCAAGAGGCUCCAGAGUGUCCUCCUGCCAGACGGGAAGCGGAAGUGCCAUGUCCGGGAUGGGCCCUGGGUCUGGGCUCCCAGCCAGGCAGCCGUGUCCUGGGAGGCAGGAGCCGAGACUUCUUCCCUCUGCUGGAGCCGGAAGCUGGGCUCCAGGCACCUGGAGUUCUCAUCUCCUGGUCCCCAGGAUGCGGAUUCCGGCACACGACCCCCACGCCUUCCUCUUCCCCACCUACGUUUGGCAGCCACAUCCUGUAGCGGUGGGUGGGGCCCAAACAGGAGGCAGGGAUGUGGGUGGAAUCCCGGGAGACCUGAGGGGCAUCCUUUCUCAAGGGCAGUUGAAAUCUCUUCUUGGCCCCAGGGUGCCUUGGAGCACGGUUUGAAAAACACUGAUGGAGCCCUUUUGAUAGAUGGAAAAACAGAGGCCUGGAGGGGGGAAGGGGGAGAGUCAGACCCUGGGGGCCCUUGUAGUCCCCACUUCCCAAAAUCUGCUACAGGGCCUGGCAGGUGAAAUUGCACUUCACAGUGCCCCCAGCCCACCUGCCCUGGCAGCCCCCUGCUCUCAUUGUCCAGAAGGCCAGGGAGGCGUUGGGGCUCCAUGACUUCCCGUGUAGGACACCCCACAUCUGCAAGUCUCACUCGGCUGCAUCUGCCAAAUGCCCACCUCACAGGGUUGUGAGGAGCGACAGAGAUGACAAUGCGAAGAACAAGAUGGCCAGGCCUAGCAGCUCCCACUCCCUGCGCUCCGACCCGAGGCUGCACAGGCGGGCUCCGAGCGUCGCCUUGGUUAUCGAGACAGAAUUUACCUCCCAUAAAGCUCGCCCAUUUCAAGUGUGUGGUUCAAGGGUUUUCAGUGUAUUUACAGAGUUGUCCAACCAUCACCAUCUAAUUUUAGAUUGUCCCCAAAUCUAAUUUUGUCUAAUAAUGUAAAUUAGAUUGUCUAAAAAAUCUAAUUUUACAUUGUCGCAAGAAGAAAUCCAAUACUCACGAGCAGUCCCUGCCAUUCCUCUUCUCCAGGCCCCGGAAACACCAGUCUACUCUCUACGGAUUUACCGAUUUUGGACAUUUCAUACAAUGAAAUCAUAUAAUAUGCCGGCUUUUGUGACUGACUUCUUUCACCGAGCAAAGUGUCGUAGCGUGUAUCAGUACUUGAUUCUUUUUUACGGCUGGAUAAUAUUCCACCAUAUAGAUACACCAUUUUGUUUAUCCAUUCGUCCACUGAUGGACAUGUGGGUUGUUCCACUCUUUGACUGUUACGAAGAAUGCUGCCAGGAACAUCCCCGCCCAGGUCUUUGCGAG
rnacentral:lncRNA from 1 species